GGCUAGGUGGCAGAAUGGUUAUGCGAAAGAUUGCAAAUCUUUAUAAAUAUUGGUUCAACUCCGAUUCUAGCUU
rnacentral:tRNA from 1 species